UGCAAGGAAUCCUUCACCAUUUGUAUAACCACCAUCUACAAGGUAAUAACAACCUAAUGAAAAAAAAAAACAGACCUUAUUAGUGUUUUGUAGUUGACAAACAGAACUAAACCUAACUUACAAAGUUGAGACUAAGUAAUAGUCUUACCCGCUGGUACCUUAAAACCAUUAGGCCUGCUAAUUGCAUCAUGUAGCACUCUAGAGUCUGAUGCGGAACCCUCCCACCCC
rnacentral:lncRNA from 1 species